rnacentral:tRNA from 1 species
GACAGCAUGGUAUAGUGGUUUGAGCAUUGGACUAUGACUUUAGAGACCAGGGUUCAAAUCCCAGCUCGGCCA